rnacentral:misc_RNA from 1 species
UUAAGUUCAGCGGGUAGUCCUACCUGAUUUGAGGUCAAGCAUUCAAAGUUGUCCUAAGACGAUUAGAAGCUGAACAACACAGAGAGCAAUCCCCUCGCCAGUGUAGAUAAUUUAUCACACUUGUGGCAGAUCGCAAACGGUUCCGCUAAUACAUUUCAGAGGAGCUGACCUCAGUAAGUGGCCAGCAAGCCUCCACAAUC